GAAUUAACAAGGUAGUAGGAGAAACCACCAUAGGAUCCUGCCCAGUGUCACCUCAUCUCCCAGCACACCGCCACCCAGGCCCUUCACUCUUCUACUGAACCACUUUCUUCCAUGUGCACACGCUGAUUUCUCAACCUGGAAUCAUUUCCCUACACCUUUCCUCAAAGGACUGUUAAUGAGUUUUCAGAGCAGGUACUUCACUGAAAUGUAACUACCACAAUGCAUCCUUUCCAUGUGACUAACUUCGCUCAUGGACCAGAAUCACUGUGGCUCUGCCCUGGAGUGGUGCAAAGAGCUCGCAUUCUGUUUGGAAAGCAAAUUAUUUAAAUCCAGUAGAGGACUCUCAAAUGUGGUUGGAAAAUCUAAGAAGACUUCCCAGAGGCAGCAGCACUAGUGUUAGGGAAAGAGCUCACAAAUUCCAUUGCUGUAGAAUCCAUGUGUUGAAGACCGCUACACUGGAAUCUAGUUUUCUAUCCUAAAAUCUACCUCCUGAGUUUGAGUAAGACUUGAACUAGUUUGCAAAUAUCUGUGAUCUUCACCUUGCCUGCCUGCAAAGCCCAUAAGCAAGUUCAGAAGAGACUUCUACUUGUCCAAAGCAACAUGGAGUAAAGUGGGUCAACUAGAAUUAAAAUAUGCUCCAGCCAAAGGUGACCAUGGAAACCUAUUGAUAAGGCUCUGGGGUCAGAUUCAUCUCUGUUCAGACAACUCUAGCGGUGUGACUCUGAGCAAGUGUUUUUUAACCUAAGUUCCUGCUUCCUCAACUGCAAAUGUAGGAAUGGUAACAUCUUCCUCAAAGUUGUAUGCUGGGGAUAACACAUGAAGGAGAUGCCUGGGCCAUAUAAUUAUUUAAGAAAUGUUCAUUUCUUUCUUGAACUACCUUCUACCAACUAUUUGGUCUGAGUUUAUGAAACUGUAAAUUUUGUCUAACAUUUGCCUAACAAAGCAUUAUUACCUUGCUUAAAGAAACACACAAUACAUUCUAAACCAAAAAUAAUUUGAAUGUAAUCCAUUAUUUUGGAUUAAUCUAUAUCAUCACUCCCCUCCCUUAGAGAAGACAGGCCAAGAGUUGGUUGCAAUAAUUUUUGAAGUAAAUUGAAGACCUUAUAAUUAACACUUAAGUCGGAGAAGUUAUUAUAUUUUCCAGUGUUUCAGUAUUUACAGUCCAAAAUAGUGUUCAUCCUCAGAAUAUAAAGCCCUUUUACCUUUAAUGAUAUAUCAAAUGCAUUGGCAAAUACAGCUGUUGUUAGUAAAUUCCUAUUUAACAGAUGGGCAAGAUGAGGUAGUGAGAUUAAAUGACUAGCCCAUGGCUAAUAUGUGAUUAGAAAGACAAAUUUAAUCAUAGUUGCCAUUUGACUUCCUUUCAAAACUAGAAUUAAAUUUCAAGUGUCUCCUGACUCCCAGUUUGGUGCUUAUUUCACUACAGUGCAAUAUGUGCUUUAUUACAUGCUUUAAAAUAAGAGGAGAGAGUGGGGAGGCAUAAGCACCUUCCUCCUAAAAGGCACAAAGCACAAAAUACGAGGGAAAUAGUCCAUCAUUAAUUUUCAUAACAUUCCCCGUAAGACAACAAUGAGUACCGACUCUCCCUUAGUCAGGAGGAUGGUGUAGAAACCUAAGUUUAAAAAAAGAUGCACAAGAUGCCCACAGAUACUCAAGAAAUCAAAAAGACAGCCCAGAAUUACCUAGUGUUAGAAUGAAAUUGAUCACACACCUUCUGGAAAGCACACAGUUCUACAAGUCUCUAUGUACGCAGGGAAAUCCAAGUACCUUUUUAGCAGGGAAGGAUUGUUUCAUAGAACAUCUAGCAGCAACCCUG
rnacentral:lncRNA from 1 species